CGUACAUGUAUCUUAUUUUAUGACGAAAGCACCAAGAAAUAAUUUUAUUCUUUCAAAUUUAUACUCGUUAAGAAUUCUCUUCCAAACCUAUCACAUAUAAUCUAAAAAUUGAUGUUUAUGCUUUGAAAAUCAAGAGUGGUACUUGAAAUCCAAGGGUGUUAGCUACAGUUCAAGGAUAGAGGAGGACAACAAACAGCCUGUGGUUAUCCCUGUAAUAUAAUGUUUAAUAUUACGCUAGACUUUUACUGUCCGGUUGGAAUGGGACGUUUUAUAUUUCUUCCUAUGUGACGUUUACAUUUUUCUGACGUCAUACAC
rnacentral:lncRNA from 1 species